rnacentral:rRNA from 1 species
GAGUGGCGGACUGGUGAGUAACGCGUGGAUGAUCUACCUUUGAGAUGGGGAUAGCUUCUAGAAAUAGGAGGUAAUACCGAAUAACCUUAUUAUGUUAUGACGUAGUAAGAAAAGGAGCGUCAGCUCCGCUUAAAGAUGAGUCUGCGUCCCAUUAGCUAGUUGGUAAGGUAAAGGCUUACCAAGGCGACGAUGGGUACCCGGCCUGAGAGGGUGAACGGGCACAUUGGGACUGAGAUACGGCCCAAACUCC